AGAGUGAGACUUGCUGCUUUGCGCAACAUCUGGGAACAAAGCAAUGUCUCCGCCACUCCUUUAAAUUUCUUGUCUCAGCCUGUGAGAGGGGGUGGGGGGUGGAUACUGUUUACGCGCAGCAACUGUAGGGAGAGAAAAUGAAUCCAGGGAGGGAGCAUGCUCCGGAAAGUUUGGUUCAGAUCUCCAGCAUCCACACUUUUGGAUGGUUGUGUGAUGGACCGUCUUCAGGAUUUAUAGCAAUGUUGGCAAGGUGACGGCAGCAGAGCCAGGGACGCCUGGGACAUUGGCUGGACAUGGAAGGGGAACUCAUUGCGAGCCAGUGAUCAAACAUCAGUAAAGUAAUUCUUAAGAACACCCUGAACUAUGCUUGAGAAGAAGAUGUCACAUCUUUGAAAGAAUGCAAAAUCAUGAGAGAGGGUGCAUGACUGAUUCACAACACUGUUCCCGGGAUGAUGCAACUCACUGACCUUGAGAAGUUGGGGCUAUUGUCCUUUACGGAACAGUAACUUUCAAUUUGGUCGAGCUCCUUAAACUCCUGAUGGAUUUUAUCAGAGUCGGAUAGGGAGAAACUGCUUCCACUGAAGAAGGAUUGAGAACAUUCAGGUGCUGGUCAAAUAUAAUUGACAAACGAAACAACACAAAAUAAAUAA